rnacentral:tRNA from 1 species
GGAGAGGUCGCAUAAUCCGGUAUUGCACCAGUCUCGAAAACUGGCAGGCUCACGCCUAUGAGAGUUCAAAUCUCUCCCUCUCCGCCA